CCUACGGGAGGCAGCAGUGAGGAAUAUUGGUCAAUGGACGAGAGUCUGAACCAGCCAAGUAGCGUGAAGGAUGACUGCCCUAUGGGUUGUAAACUUCUUUUAUAUGGGAAUAAAACGUUCCACGUGUGGGAUUUUGUAUGUACCAUAUGAAUAAGGAUCGGCUAACUCCGUGCCAGCAGCCGCGGUAAUACGGAGGAUCCGAGCGUUAUCCGGAUUUAUUGGGUUUAAAGGGAGCGUAGGUGGAUUGUUAAGUCAGUUGUGAAAGUUUGCGGCUCAACCGUAAAAUUGCAGUUGAAACUGGCAGUCUUGAGUACAGUAGAGGUGGGCGGAAGUCGUGGUGUAGCGGUGAAAUGCUUAGAUAUCACGAAGAACUCCGAUUGCGAAGGCAGUUCACUGGACUGCAACUGACACUGAGGCUCGAAAGUGUGGGUAUCAAACAGGAUUAGAACCCGUGUAGUC
rnacentral:rRNA from 1 species